CCCAGCAGUGCGCACGACGCAUGCGUCUUUCCUCCGCCCUGCUAACGUCCGGAAGGGCAACUAUGAUUGUGCACCCUCCAGGUUAUGUUACCUUGGUCUCUCUCAAGUCUUGAAGAGUUUUUCACAGGAUGAAGUCAGAAGGUACUUUCUUAUAUAAGUGCAGAAGGCAAGGGCGCUAAAUUCAUGUUUAUCAGGAAGUUUGAAAAGUAAUUUUAUCCCAGACCACAUUGCCAGAAAUAUGACUGCAAGCAAGGGAGGGACAAAGAGAAAGGGGGACAGAGACUCUGAAGCAGGCUCUGUGCUAACAGCAGUGAGCAUUAUGUGGGGGUGGAAGUCACGAACCCUGAGGUCAUGACCUCUGAGCCAAGGUCAGAAGUUCAAUGGACUGAGCCACCCACGUGUCCUGCAGAUUAUAAAACCAAGGCUUGACGGGCUUAAGUAAAUUGUGUGAGGUCAUAUGUAGGGCUGGGACCAGACUCUAAUACUUGUGAGUUGUUUCUUCCAUUACCUUUUGUUGCCAAAUACAAGAAGAAAUGAAUAUGUCGUAUAAAAAAUGUAGGGUUAAACUAUUCUUUAAAAUGUUUUGCAACUAAAAUGAUUUAAAACUGACCAUUAUGUAUAAUAUUGAAAAGAGAAAAUCCUUGUCUAUUUGGUCUUUAUGACUGCUCACUGCUGUUAUAGGUGGCGAGCAAUAAAUAAAAUAAAUUCACAGAAAUAAAACAAGUGCUCUGGCUACCAUUUAUUUUGGCAAUUGUCAGGAAAGAUGAAUUAGCCAGCACAGAUUCCCCAGAGGUGGCAUGAUGUGUAAGACUAAUAAAACGAUACCUGAUGAUUCCCUUGGAGAAGGAAAGAAUAACCUCAAAGAAGAAUCAGAAUUAACAAGAAAUGAGACCAAUCUUUCACAGCGCCAUGAAGGUUAGAAAGAUAAAGCUAUAGUACUCUAAAAGCCAUGAAAUUACUUCUAAAGGCAAUAAUCGAUUUAGUGGGAAACAUUAGAAAACUACAAGUCAAAAAACAACAUCAACAAGAACGGUAAGCCCCGGAGGUCACAGCCAUCGAGAAAGUGCCUGGUAAAUCCUGUUUCCCUCCCACUGCUCCUCAGCCAAGAUUGAUUCUAUGCUCAAUCCUGAGCCUGAAACAACUGUUUCCUGAGGAGAAACCUUUUUAUUUACUAUGAUUUACUUUUUCUUUACUUUCUUCUUGCAGAAAAGGAGGGAAGAGAGGAGGGAGGAAGGGAAGGAGGGAGAGAUGAAGAAAGAGUGGGAGGGAGAGAAGAAAGAAGAAAUGCAACAAAGGGGAAAAAAGAAAAGAAAAAUAAGUCUACCACUGUCCAUUUCCUUCUUUUCUUACUUUCUUUGCUAGAUUGGUUGAUCAAAAACCCUUCAAUGGAAUAGAUUGUGUAUUCUUGCUUUUCACAAGAAUAUGAUUGUGUAAAUCAUCACAGGUAAUGAUUUUCUUGAUCAUUUCAAGACUUUUCUGA